GCUCCCUAUCUGUCGUGGGCGUAGGAUAUUUGAGGAGCGCUGUCCCUAGUACGAGAGGACCGGGCUGGAAGCACCGCUGGCGCACCAGUUAUCAUGCCAAUGGUACAGCUGGGCAACUAAGUGCGGAUUGGAUAAACGCUGAAAGCAUCUAAGCGUGAAGCCAUCUCCAAGAUAAGAUAUCCCAUAGCAUAAGCUAGUAAGACCCCUCAAGGACUAUGAGGUUGAUAGGUUGCAUGUGUAAGUGCAGUGAUGCAUUCAGCUAGGCAAUACUAAUAGGUCGAGGGCUUGACCAU
rnacentral:rRNA from 1 species